rnacentral:rRNA from 1 species
UAGGGAAUCUUCCACAAUGGACGCAAGUCUGAUGGAGCAACGCCGCGUGAGUGAAGAAGGUUUUCGGAUCGUAAAGCUCUGUUGUUGGUGAAGAAGGAUAGAGGUAGUAACUGGCCUUUAUUUGACGGUAAUCAACCAGAAAGUCACGGCUAACUACGUGCCAGCAGCCGCGGUAAUACGUAGGUGGCAAGCGUUGUCCGGAUUUAUUGGGCGUAAAGCGAGCGCAGGCGGAAGAAUAAGUCUGAUGUGAAAGCCCUCGGCUUAACCGAGGAACUGCAUCGGAAACUGUUUUUCUUGAGUGCAGAAGAGGAGAGUGGAAUUCCAUGUGUAGCGGUGGAAUGCGUAGAUGUAUGGAAGAACACCAGUGGCGAAGGCGACUCUCUGGUCUGCAACUGACGCUGAGGCUCGAAAGCAUGGGUAGCGAACAGG